GAUCCUGGCUCAGAAUCAACGCUGGCGGCGUGCCUAACACAUGCAAGUCGAACGCGAAAGGGGAGCAAUCCCUGAGUAGAGUGGCAAACGGGUGAGUAACACGUGGGUGACCUGCCUUCGAGUGGGGGAUAACGUUCCGAAAGGAACGCUAAUACCGCAUGACAUCCUGCUUUUGGAAAAGCGGAGAUCAAAGCUGGGGAUUCGCAAGAACCUAGCGCUUGAAGAGGGGCCCGCGCCUGAUUAGCUAGUUGGUGAGGUAACGGCUCACCAAGGCUACGAUCAGUAUCCGGCCUGAGAGGGCGGACGGACACACUGGGACUGAGACACGGCCCAGACUCCUACGGGAGGCAGCAGUGGGGAAUUGUUCGCAAUGGGCGCAAGCCUGACGACGCAACGCCGCGUGGAGGAUGAAGAUUUUCGGAUCGUAAACUCCUGUCGAGUGGGAAGAAUAGCUUUCGGGCAAAUAUCCCGAGAGUCUGACGGUACCACUAAAGGAAGCCCCGGCUAACUCCGUGCCAGCAGCCGCGGUAAUACGGGGGGGGCAAGCGUUGUUCGGAAUUACUGGGCGUAAAGGGCUCGUAGGCGGCCCACUAAGUCAGAUGUGAAAUCCCCAGGCUCAACCUGGGAACUGCAUCUGAUACUGGUGGGCUUGAAUUCGGGAGAGGGAUGCAGAAUUCCAGGUGUAGCGGU
rnacentral:rRNA from 1 species